GUCUCGAGUAGACGGCGACGACGGAAAGAACGAGAAUCAGCGAAGACAUAACAGCGAAAAAUGGCGAGGGGACAUACCGGAGAGUUUUUCAGGAGAAGGGAUCAGUGGAGGAAGCAUCCGAUGCUUUCGAAUCAGCUCCGACACGCCACCCCUGGGCUUGGAAUCGCCCUCGUGGCUUUCGGCAUUUACCUCGUCGGUGAACAAGUCUACAAUAGGCUAAAUUCUCCUUCCUCUCACCACUCUCACUCUUCCUCUUCCGUUCAUUCUUCUCACUGAUGUGGAACUCGUGUCUUGCCGCUUCUCUCAGGUACAUUCCCUGGACCCUGGAAUGCAUCAUCUUAUUUUCUAGGACGUUUAAUAAUAAGCCUUUGGUUGACUUGAAUUUGCAGCUUUGUAUGUAAACUUGUUAUUAGUAUACUUCGUUAGUGUUUGUGUCCCAUUAUUUUGCCUGCGUUGAAGUGCUUAUUGUUCUGCUUCAAGCGCGUUGCCUGCACAUUGGCGAAAUCCAACCAUAGUUUGAACAUUAUGAGAUCAGAUUUGGAAAUGCUGGAAAUUUUAGCGAUUUAUUAUUAUAUUAUAA